rnacentral:rRNA from 2 species
GUGGGGCUAUCUGCAGUCGAGCGAACUGAUUAGAAGCUUGCUUCUAUGACGUUAGCGGCGGACGGGUGAGUAACACGUGGGCAACCUGCCUGUAAGACUGGGAUAACUUCGGGAAACCGAAGCUAAUACCGGAUAGGAUCUUCUCCUUCAUGGGAGAUGAUUGAAAGAUGGUUUCGGCUAUCACUUACAGAUGGGCCCGCGGUGCAUUAGCUAGUUGGUGAGGUAACGGCUCACCAAGGCAACGAUGCAUAGCCGACCUGAGAGGGUGAUCGGCCACACUGGGACUGAGACACGGCCCAGACUCCUACGGGAGGCAGCAGUAGGGAAUCUUCCGCAAUGGACGAAAGUCUGACGGAGCAACGCCGCGUGAGUGAUGAAGGCUUUCGGGUCGUAAAACUCUGUUGUUAGGGAAGAACAAGUACGAGAGUAACUGCUCGUACCUUGACGGUACCUAACCAGAAAGCCACGGCUAACUACGUGCCAGCAGCCGCGGUAAUACGUAGGUGGCAAGCGUUAUCCGGAAUUAUUGGGCGUAAAGCGCGCGCAGGCGGUUUCUUAAGUCUGAUGUGAAAGCCCACGGCUCAACCGUGGAGGGUCAUUGGAAACUGGGGAACUUGAGUGCAGAAGAGAAAAGCGGAAUUCCACGUGUAGCGGUGAAAUGCGUAGAGAUGUGGAGGAACACCAGUGGCGAAGGCGGC